UUUGGAGCCUGCACUUGCUGGCAAGAGGAAGCAACCAGCACGUGGGCCAGAGGAGGGCUGGGCUCUGCAGGGACUGGCACUGCACUACUGGGAUCAGGAUGGGACUGGUGGCUGGAGCUGGAGUGUGACAGAGUGUGAAGUGGGGCUGUGACAAAGGGCUCUGCCAGGAGACAUAGGCAGUGUGGAGAAGGACCAGGACCAGAAACAGACACAGCUUCUGGGAGCUGCUGCCAAACUGCAGCUGUGAAUAACAGACUAGCUGAGGUUGGAAGGGACCUCUGGAGGUCAUCUGGUUCAAGCCCCCUGCUCAAGCAAAACCACUUAGUCGACUGUGUCCAGGC